rnacentral:lncRNA from 1 species
GUGACUUGGACAAGACUUAGUCAUCUUGAUUUCUGUGUUUUGUUAAAAAGUUGCCUGAAUGCCAUUCUAAGUACAAGGCAUAGCAAUUCAUCCAUGUCUUAGCAGCCAUGUUCUGAUUUGUUGAUGAAUUUACUUACACUUGUACUGACCCUCUUUUUUUUCCAGAGUACCUGCUUUAACUGUCUGCCAACCUCAUCAAAGGGCCACUGUCAUUAGAAACGAACAUGCUCAGAAUGCUGACCUUCCACGAAAAUACUCAAAAAGGGAGAAGAAACCAUUUCCUAUACCAGUGCUGGAGUUAAGACGCCGAGCAAAGGAGAGGAUGAAGGCAGCACAAGGGAAACCAAAACGUCCACUGCCUCCACCAAAAAAUGGAAUGCUAAUCCGUAGACUGAUACCAGUUGCCUACAAAGUGUACAAUACAAGAAUUUUGCUGAUCAACAACUUGAGGAAGCUUAUGAAAGUAGUACCUGUAAAAGGCUGCAAGUAAUUCCCGUUUCCCAUCAUUUACUGAUUAUUAUUUGUUACAGAUCAUGCUUAUGUGUACCAUAGAAUGGAUCUAAACCAAGAUAACACAAUUGGAUGCAUAUAAAGCAACAAACUGUGUGCCAACACAGCCUUGUUCAUGGCAACGGAUGAAAAAGAACAUUAUUAUUUGGCAAUUUUGCUUACAUGUUAUAUGUUAGCUGCUCAGUUGAUCAAGUGUGCUAAUUACUAUAAUGGAUAACAUACUUAAGCAUAUGGUCAUCUUAGAUUAUGCAAUACGAACUUAGCAUCUGGAAAGCCGCAUCUGUUAUUUGCAAUAAUGGUGUUUUUUUUUUACUUGGGCUAGAUUCUGUUAUAGAACACUUAUGCCUAAUCGAGGAUACACUCUUCCACUGGUUCAGGAGUUUUUGGAUUAUGCUCAGUCUGUUUGUCUUGGAACACUGCACUAAGUCGGGCCAGGGAAGUAGGAUGAAAGUCCCAAUGAAACCUUUACACUGUAGAAAGUAAAAGCUCAUGGUCAUGCUAGAUGAACUAGAUGCUCAUAUGUGCUUGAUCAGUUCCCUAUGUCCUAAUUAGCACAUUCACAUGUGAUUUUUUCUGUUGCAGAUAUUGCAGUGAGAUACAUGUUGGAUCUGUUGGACAUCCUUUCCGAACAUGCCGAGGAAUGUUGUCAAAUCAACGUAGGGGAGAGCAUGAGUGGGGAAGUACUUUAGCGGAAGCUGUUUUCUUACCUGUUGAAGCCUACCAUCUAGAGGACCGUCUUGGGAAUCGUAUCCCGCAUGAUCAGAGGUUUGCUGUACCCCGCAUUCCCGCUCUUGUGGAACUUUGCAUCCAAGCUGGAGUUGACCUCCCUGAGUAUCCCACAAAGCGUCGAAGAAAGCCAAUCAUUAAAAUUGGAAGAAACGAGUUUGUUGAUGCAGAUGAAGAUGACCUACCAGAACCAGAGCCUGACAGAUUUAAGCAGACACUUCUUGAAGAACUACAAUCCGAUGAAAUUGUCUCUCCAUCUAGCCCGGAGGAGACAGUGGCUCUUGCCG